GAGCAGAGUUUUUAAAUAACCUCUCACAGUACGGGACCUAGUUGCUGAUUAGGGAUCAGAGAACUGUCAUGCAAUAAAGGGGGCCGUGUGAUUUCUUUUUUCAGAGUUUCAGUAACCAGUGUGUGGGAUCAGAAGCACAGUUUGUAACUGGUCAGUGAGUUUAACUUCAGUGUUAACCACCAGUUUGGGGAGCAUCUGCUCUCCCUUUUUCAGCCUGCUCUGACCUUGGCAUUUUCAGUGAGGACUGCCCCAGGCACACUAGGUCACACUAAGCACUGAAGAUAAAUUAACAGAAUGUUUUUGAUGAUCAAGUUGUAUGAAAUCAACUGAACUCCUUUGUUUUCUUCCAUCUGAGCAGAGUUUCUGGUUUUCCAACGUGAUAUGAUCUCCCAGCUGGAACAAGGGGAAGAGCCAUGGGUCCCAGAGCUCCAGGGUUCAGAGGAAAGAGAGAUCCUGAGAUCUCCCCGCACAGAUGAGGAAACAUUAAACCAACUCAGAAUCUAUCAGGCCUUUCUCAACAUCAGAGAAUCCACACAGGGGAGAGGCCCUGUGAAUGCCAUGAGUGCGGGAAAACUUUCAGUCACAGCUCGCACCUUAUUGGGCAUCAGAGAAUCCACAUGAGCGAGAAGCCCCGCAAAUGCCGUCAGCAGGCCUGCACAACUCGUAAAGCGGUGAUGUAGAGAAAUCUCUGUAUUAACUAUCUCUAUAAAUCUUUAUAACGUUGCAUUGUGUUAUUUUGUAUUAAGUAUCUUUNGAGCGAGAAGCCCCGCAAAUGCCGUCAGCAGGCCUGCACAACUCGUAAAGCGGUGAUGUAGAGAAAUCUCUGUAUUAACUAUCUCUAUAAAUCUUUAUAAAGUUGCAUUGUGUUAUUUUGUAUUAAGCAUCUUUCUGUAUUAAGUAUCUUUAUGACAUUGCAUCCGGCAUGAUGUUNUUAUCUUUAUGACAUUGCAUCUGGCAUGAUGUUAUUGUGUAAUUCAUAUGACUUGGCAUUGUGCCUCUCUAUUUUCAUACAACUUUGUAUUAGAUCCCUAU
rnacentral:lncRNA from 1 species